ensembl:lncRNA
GUUCACAAAUGUCUUAGUAGCUUUAUUCAAAAUAUUCCCACACUAGAAAUAACCCAAAUAUCUAUCAAGAGAUACACAGAUUAGCCAAUAGUAGUAUAUUACUUAGUAUAAUAAGUAUAUCAUAAUAGGAAUACUGCUCACCCAGAAAAAGGAACAAGCUAUUGAUAAAUACAACAGCACACAUGUCGAAACAUGUUAAGCUAAAUAAAACUUCAACACAGGAGUGUACCUCAUCUGACACAGUCCUGAACUUCAAUGAAAUAACAGAACAGACAAAAUUAAUCCUGAGAGAUAGAGUAGAUGAAUGACUACCUGGGGUGCAUGAGGGGGGAGGGGGUGACCCACUGACUGCAGAAGGAGACAGUGCAUGUGCUGGUGGACGAUCUGCUCUGUCUUGACUGGGACUGAUGUUGGCACUGGUAUAGAAAUGUCAAGGCUGAACUGUACAGUUAGGACGGGCACAUUUAACUGUAUGAAAGCAGUCACACAGCCAGAGCAGAAGAGUCAGAGCCCAGUGCCCACCCUAAUAGACGGAAGUGCACUAAGUUUCUAUUUGUUUCUUUAGCAGCAUGCGGGUCAGAUUUUCAUCCAAUGAAUGGCUGAGUAAAAUUGUAAUAUUCAAAGAGACAGCCACAGACAUGGAGAUUAACAAAAGCCAUGCAAUAAGCUGGUUCCACCAGAGGGCACGCACAGCUUCAAGCCAAAUGACUAACUUCUGAUAGACAGCAUCCCACUGUCAGGUGGUUAUCUCUGAGGGAUGGGACGCUGUCCAGGUAGUCGAACCCAAGUCUGACCAGGGGGCUAAAUCAAAUGUUAGGUCUCUUACCAACUUUAAGAAAAUCUCAUUAUAAAAAGGCAAAUGGUUACAAGUUCAUUACAAGGAUUUGACAGAUUCAACUUAGGAGUUCACUGUUAAAGAAACCGGAAUAUAGCUUAUUUUUAAACUCUAUUGCACUUAGAAUUAAUACAAACUUUCAACUUGACGUCAGAGGUUAGGAAGAAGGCAUUUUUGUCAGGCUGGGGAUGACUCUAGGGGCCUUAAACCUGCCAUGCACACACCCCUCCAUUAGGUUACUUCCUGGCCCUGAACAAUUAUCUAUGCGGUAUCUUCUUCACAAAGCAAAUACUUAUUAAAACAAGUUUCUAUGAAUACUUUUCCUCCUAUACCAAACCCUGGUAAAGCCUGGGUCAUACAUUUCCUGUCCUUCUUACAUUUAUUCUAUUUUAGGGUGAAGACGGGCUUCUAUUUUGUCUCUCAAUUUUACUAUAGGCUGGUUUAUGACACAUUUUUACAGAGCGCUGCAGUGACAGAAAUACUAGAAAUUUCACCUCAUUAGAGAAAAUGCACAGUGAGCAGUGUGCUCUUUUCAAUCUUACGUACAUAUUUCAGUAACUCAUCUCUUUUUCACCCUCCAGCAUGAGGGGAAAGCAGGCUCCUCCACCGGACUCCUACCGAGGGCCUAGCAGAAGACUGACCUCGAUUAUCAAGGAACCCA